rnacentral:lncRNA from 1 species
GCCUCUGCAAGUAACUACUGGUAAGUCUACUCCCUCUAUUCCCUCAGAACCUCCUGUGGCUUCCUCUACUUCUCUCCCAGCACCUAUAUACACUUCCUCUGAAACCCCACCUUCUACAACUAGAACCUCACAACCUUUACCAAAAUUCAAUCUUGCCCAUACCACUUUACCUCGUUCUGAAGCUGAAGAACUCAAUCAAACCACCUCUUCCUCAGCCCCAGAAUCA